rnacentral:tRNA from 1 species
GAGGGUAUAGCUCAGUGGUAGGGUGCAUGCCUAGCAUACAGGAAGUCCUGGGUCAAUCCCCAGUAUCUCCA